rnacentral:rRNA from 1 species
CUACGGAGGUUGCAAGCGUUAAUCGGAAUUACUGGGCGUAAAGCGCGCGUAGGCGGAUAUUUAAGUCUCAUGUGAAAGCCCUGGGCUCAACCUGGGAACUGCAUGGGAUGCUGGGUAUCUAGAAUACAGUAGAGGGUAGUGGAAUUUCAGGUGUAGCGGUGAAAUGCGUAGAGAUCUGAAGGAACAUCAGUGGCGAAGGCGACUACCUGGACUGAUAUUGACGCUGAGGUGCGAAAGCGUGGGGAGCAAACGGGAUUAGAAACCCUAGUAGUCC